AGGGCACCACCAGGAGUGGAGCCUGCGGCUUAAUUUGACUCAACACGGGAAAACUCACCCGGCCCGGACACUGGAAGGAUUGACAGAUUGAGAGUUCUUUCUUGAUUCAGUGGGUGGUGGUGCAUGGCCGUUCUUAGUUGGUGGAGUGAUUUGUCUGGUUAAUUCUGAUAACGAACGAGACUCUAGCCUAUUAAAUAGAUCGUUGGCUUACAAACGCCGGCGAGACUUCUUAGAGGGACAGGCGGCGAUUCAGCCGCACGAAACAGAGCAAUAACAGGUCUGUGAUGCCCUUAGAUGUCCGGGGCCGCACGCGCGCUACACUGAAGUGAUCAGCGUGCAUUUUGAAACCUACUCUGUCAAGAGUGGGGAACCCAAUGAACCUUCUUCGUGAUUGGGAUAGGGGAUUGUAAUUAUUCCCCUUGAACGAGGAAUUCCCAGUAAGCGCGAAUCAUAAGUUUGCGCUGAUUACGUCCCUGCCCUUUGUACACACCGCCCGUCGCUACUACCGAUUGAAUGUUU
rnacentral:rRNA from 1 species